GACAAACGCUGGCGGCGUGCCUAAUACAUGCAAGUCGAGCGAACAGACGAGGAGCUUGCUCCUCUGACGUUAGCGGCGGACGGGUGAGUAACACGUGGAUAACCUACCUAUAAGACUGGGAUAACUUCGGGAAACCGGAGCUAAUACCGGAUAAUAUAUUGAACCGCAUGGUUCAAUAGUGAAAGCCGGUUUUGCUGUCACUUAUAGAUGGAUCCGCGCCGCAUUAGCUAGUUGGUAAGGUAACGGCUUACCAAGGCGACGAUGCGUAGCCGACCUGAGAGGGUGAUCGGCCACACUGGAACUGAGACACGGUCCAGACUCCUACGGGAGGCAGCAGUAGGGAAUCUUCCGCAAUGGGCGAAAGCCUGACGGAGCAACGCCGCGUGAGUGAUGAAGGUCUUCGGAUCGUAAAACUCUGUUAUUAGGGAAGAACAAAUGUGUAAGUAACUAUGCACGUCUUGACGGUACCUAAUCAGAAAGCCACGGCUAACUACGUG
rnacentral:rRNA from 1 species